AGAGUUUGAUCAUGGCUCAGAUUGAACGCUGGCGGAAUGCUUUACACAUGCAAGUCGGGCGGCAGCGCGGGGGCAACCCUGGCGGCGAGCGGCGAACGGGUGAGUAACACAUCGGAACGUAUCCUGUCGUGGGGGAUAACGAAUCGAAAGAUUCGCUAAUACCGCAUACGACCUGAGGGUGAAAGCGGGGGAUCGCAAGACCUCGCGCGAGAGGAGCGGCCGAUGGCGGAUUAGCUAGUUGGUGGGGUAAAGGCCCACCAAGGCGACGAUCCGUAGCGGGUCUGAGAGGACGGCCCGCCACACUGGGACUGAGACACGGCCCAGACUCCUACGGGAGGCAGCAGUGGGGAAUUUUGGACAAUGGGGGCAACCCUGAUCCAGCCAUUCCGCGUGAGUGAAGAAGGCCUUCGGGUUGUAAAGCUCUUUCGGCAGGAACGAAACGACGGGCUCUAACAUAGCCUGUCAAUGACGGUACCUGAAGAAGAAGCACCGGCUAACUACGUGCCAGCAGCCGCGGUAAUACGUAGGGUGCGAGCGUUAAUCGGAAUUACUGGGCGUAAAGCGUGCGCAGGCGGCUUUGUAAGACAGGUGUGAAAUCCCCGGGCUUAACCUGGGAACUGCGCUUGUGACUGCAAGGCUCGAGUGCGGCA
rnacentral:rRNA from 1 species